UGAUCAUGGCUCAGAUUGAACGCUGGCGGCAGGCCUAACACAUGCAAGUCGAGCGGCAGCACAGAGGAACUUGUUCCUUGGGUGGCGAGCGGCGGACGGGUGAGUAAUGCCUGGGAAAUUGCCCGGUAGAGGGGGAUAACCAUUGGAAACGAUGGCUAAUACCGCAUAACCUCGCAAGAGCAAAGCAGGGGACCUUCGGGCCUUGCGCUACCGGAUAUGCCCAGGUGGGAUUAGCUAGUUGGUGAGGUAAGGGCUCACCAAGGCGACGAUCCCUAGCUGGUCUGAGAGGAUGAUCAGCCACACUGGAACUGAGACACGGUCCAGACUCCUACGGGAGGCAGCAGUGGGGAAUAUUGCACAAUGGGCGCAAGCCUGAUGCAGCCAUGCCGCGUGUAUGAAGAAGGCCUUCGGGUUGUAAA
rnacentral:rRNA from 1 species